rnacentral:ncRNA from 2 species
UUUUCCUUGCAGCCGUGAUGUAUCCGAUGCUAAGGUAGAAUUAUAGAGUCUGGGCGCUAUCGGAACACGGUGUAAAUCCGUGGCGGUCCCGCCGCUGUAAUCGGUGACAAAGCCCGCAUAUCCACUGUUCGGUCUAAACCGGAUGGGAAGGGCGGGUGGAGGAUGACCCGAAAGCCAGAAGACGGGCGUUUAGACCAGGGUAAAC